GACGAACGCUGGCGGCGUGCCUAAUACAUGCAAGUAGAACGCAGUUGCGAACGCGUGAGUAACGCGUAGGUAACCGCCCGCUAGCGGGGGAUAACAAUCUGACACGAUAGCUAAUACCCCAUACUACCAGAUGGACCUGCGCUGUAUUAGCUAGUUGGUGAGGUAACGGCUCACCAAGGCAAGGAAACAUAGCCGACCUGAGAGGGGGAUCGGCCAACCUGGGACUUAGGACCGGCCCCGACUCCUACGGGAGGGAGGAGUAGGGAAUCUUCGGCAAUGGGAGGAACCCUGACCGGGGAACGCCGCGUGAGUGAAGAAGGUUUUCGGGUCGGAAAGCUCGGGUGUUAAGGGAGCGGUACUUAACCAGAAAGGGACGGCUAACUACGUGCCAGCAGCCGCGGUAAUUC
rnacentral:rRNA from 1 species